rnacentral:rRNA from 1 species
GCGGACGGGUGAGUAAUGUCUGGGAAACUGCCUGAUGGAGGGGGAUAACUACUGGAAACGGUAGCUAAUACCGCAUAACGUCGAAAGACCAAAGAGGGGGACCUUCGGGCCUCUUGCCAUCGGAUGUGCCCAGAUGGGAUUAGCUUGUUGGUGGGGUAAUGGCUCACCAAGGCGACGAUCCCUAGCUGGUCUGAGAGGAUGACCAGCCACACUGGAACUGAGACACGGUCCAGACUCCUACGGGAGGCAGCAUG